rnacentral:rRNA from 1 species
AUUGAACGCUGGCGGCAUGCUUUACACAUGCAAGUCGAACGGUAACAGGCCGCAAGGUGCUGACGAGUGGCGCACGGGUGAGUAAUGCAUCGGAACGUGCCCAGUCGUGGGGGAUAACUACUCGAAAGAGUAGCUAAUACCGCAUACGAUCUAUGGAUGAAAGCGGGGGACCGUAAGGCCUCGCGCGAUUGGAGCGGCCGAUGUCAGAUUAGGUAGUUGGUGGGGUAAAGGCUCACCAAGCCAACGAUCUGUAGCUGGUCUGAGAGGACAACCAGCCACACUGGGACUGAGACACGGCCCAGACUCCUACGGGAGGCAGCAGUGGGGAAUUUUGGACAAUGGGCGCAAGCCUGAUCCAGCAAUGCCGCGUGCAGGAAGAAGGCCUUCGGGUUGUAAACUGCUUUUGUACAGAACGAAACGGCUCUGGUUAAUACCCGGGGCUAAUGACGGUACCGUAAGAAUAAGCACCGGCUAACUACGUG